UGAACAGGCCUUGCUGAUUUCCUGCCUCGGUCCUUUCAUGACAAGAAGGAGUUUUCAUGCUUUCCUCAUCUAUAUUUCACCCCUUGUGUUGUGGCACCCGUGUGGGGGUCAAACAGCUGGACCGCAGCUGAGGGCAUGAAGUUCACGCACUUUGAAAAAUGUAGAAAAUCUAUAUAUUUGACAGUUUUCUUUGGUCUCAGAUAUCAGCACUGAAGCUUCAGCUUCCUCAAGGGUGUGCUGUGUGUGUGCUCGCCAGUGUUUUUCACUCAAGCUGCAAGCCAGGAAGAGGAUCUGCCUCAGCUGCUCUCCCCAAAGGCUGGACAACACCAUCAGCAGCAGGUAUUGCCCCACCCCUCACCUGAAACCAGGGCUCUAUCUGGAGCCUCUAAGUUCCUAAGAAGGGAAAACCUGAAAACCUACAGGAGGCGUAAACUGGUUCUGCAUUUGUCUGAUUGCAACUGAGAGAGAGAGAAGCAUUCUGGGGCUUCACUUCUCUACAAGAUGUUUCUCAACGACCUUUUCAGAGUAAACUCUCAGAGGUAAUCAGAAACUUUGUGGUGACCCUGGAACAUUUCAGUCCCGUGGGGAAGUGGCCCCUGCCUAAAGACACAGGGCCACUAGAUUUACCCUCUCGGUAAAUCCAGGGGAAACCUCUUGGGAGUCCAGGAGAACAUGGGCUAUAAAUACACAAAAGACUGGCCUUGCUUAUUGAAAUGUGCUCACCACCUUCCCUCCUGCAAGUGAAUCCAUGUGUAUUUUUGUAGCAAUCUGCCAGCCAUUGCCAUAUCUUCCAUCAACCACUUGCUCGCCUAACCUUAUUCUAAUCUCUGCCUCUUAUUUCUGGUAUGGGUUCCAUUUUUCUGGAGCCUCCUUGGUGUCUUGUUAGUACCUCUAAUUGCAGCUGACCAUAUCUGAGACCACCAGGUAGCAGCUUGUGUUGGUGGUGAAGUGAGUGUAGACUCUGGAGUCAGAUGCCUGGGUUUAAAGCUUGUUUCUACCAUGUAUCAUCUGGGUGACCCAGGGCCAAUUUCUUCAUCUCUCCCUGCCUCAGUUUCUUUAUAUGCUUUAUCUGUAAAAUGGGGGUGUCAUAGCACCUAUGUCAUAGAAUUGAUUUAAGAGUGUAAAUGAAAUAAUGUAUAUCGUUGACAGCACUUUUUCAUUUUGGAUUUACAUGAAGAGGAGGUAAAGCAUCAGUAGAAGUUUUAAAACAGGAGGAAGACAUUCUUUGUAGUAAGAGUUAACGCUGGCUUGGAUUACUAAGAAAAGGCAUGGAAUUAACUUGGAAUAGAAUCUUCUCUUGAGAUAAUUUAGGUGCUUUAACUUGGUGAUAGUCAAUGCAAUGAAUGACCUCUCACUCUCCCUUCUAGAUUCUCAUCUAUCUCUUGACUGCUUAGAGGCUGUAUGGUGGGGUCAGAAGAAGCCCAAAGUCUUGCUGUCUUGGCAGUGGGAAGCCAGAAGUUCUAUGAGCUAAUAAUCUCCCAAAUGUGCCACUUAACGACCGUCGGCUGAAGGGUAGGGACAAGAAGACAGCUUGAGAACCGCGCCCCUCUUCUGCUCCAUCCUUAUGUUUCUGUUGCACAAAUGCAGCAAAAUGAGUAGCAAUAUUUUCAUUGAAAACAUGCCUCAUGCAAAUCAGUUUGGUAAAUAUGGAAUUUAGCCUUUAUAAAAGAGCACCUGUUCUCCCCCCCCAAUUCCUCCAUUUAAUUUUUGCAUUCAGAUGUGCUCUGCUCUUGCGUAAGCCUAGUCCCAUACACUACUGCGAGAACAGACUUGCUAGUUUUGAAUCCAGUCGAACACAUACCCCUAUUUUCCAAGAAAAAUCUUCUCUAAAAAUUAGAGGCACCUGCAUGUUGGUUUUCUAGUGGGCCUGAAGAAUGUUUCCACAGUAGACAGACACAUUGACAUUUUUAAAACACGAGAACAUUCAGAGUUGAUACGGACUCUCUGUGGAUGAGGAGAGGACAGCAGGGCAGAGAGAAGGGGCAUUCAUUCCUGGGCUACCCAAGCCCUCAGUGCCCGGAAGUGGUUCUGAUCUCCCCUCUGUGGUGUGGUCAUUGUUGGGUUAACUGCUCUUCUCUACUUAGGAGCUGGGAUUUUAACCCAGUUGUGGCUUGUUCUGGGUGGUUUCCUUUUUCCCUCACCAUCAGAGGGAUAUUUUAAAAUCACAAACAGAACCUGGGGAGAGGAGGCCCAAUUUGACACCUUUGAACCUUGAUGGGGCCACUUUAUAGAUUCAGAUUUAGAGGGAUUGUUGGGUGGGGAUUUGCAACCCAGGAGAGCCUUUUAGUGCCUUUCAUAGAGGGACACAGAAUCAGAGUUUCCUGAAAUGGCGUUUUUUGUGUGAGACCUGUCAAUAGAAAUAUCAAACUGUGAAUAUACAAUUGAACUUUAUUAUCCCCUUUGAUUUUGUAACUACAUAGGUAUGACAGACAGAAGCUGAUUUUAAAAGAAACUCACAAUUGCCAGCGUGUCCCUUGUAUGAAUCCCACGGCUGGAAGUUUUUCUGUAAAUCGGCAUCUUCAGGGUUGGCAAGGAUGCUGAGGAUGGUCAUUCUGUCCGCUCUGGGUGACAUUGGCCCAACUGUGAGGGAACCACAGCUGUAACACAGCAUGGCCAUGCAUUUGCAAGAGAGAGGCCGGGCCGCAGCGUCCAACAAAAGCACCAGGAGCCUCCCAGCUCAGACAGCCAUGACCUCAGGACAAAGCCAAAUGUAAGAACUGAGACAAAGCAUCAGGGACCAGAGUUUGGUGGCAGGAUGUACUGUUCAAAGCUUGCUUUGUCAUCUUGAAACAAAGACGGGUGCCUCAGAGGUGUGCACUCUCUGACAAACCUCCUUGGCACCUCCAGCCUAUUUCUUUCCCUUUUUUUUUUUUUUUUU